rnacentral:lncRNA from 1 species
GGCGGAUCCAGGAUUUCCAGUUAGGGGGGCGCAAAGUUUUAUUUUCGCCGAGCGGAGCGAGGCGAAAAUUUUUUGGAGGUUUCUUUAGGUAAAACUAUUUAAAUAUUCUUCUAAAGGGGUGAAAUGUAGAUAACUCGAACUAUUGUGUGGUAAAAUUAGCGAGAAAUUAAAGUUUCAAGCUGAAACUGCCUUAAUCCACACCUGACAACAAUCUACAGAUAGACGGGCGGACAGACGGACGGAAAGUGAGACGAGACAGAUCACAAUUGCUCACCUGACCAAUAUAUUUUUCAAACGAAAAUUUCUACUUUUAUCAGCGAUUUUUAAUUGUCCUUUCAUACUAUCUUUUUUUUUACAUUUUUGAUUUUCGGAGGUCGUGCCAGACUUCACUGUGUUCG